UGCAAGUCGAGGGGUAACGGGGAAGCUUGCUUCCGCCGACGUCCGGCGCACGGGUGCGUAACGCGUAUACAAUCUACCUUGUACUGGGGUAUAGCCUUUAGAAAUGAAGAUUAAUCCCCCAUAGUCUCUUAGAGUGGCAUCACUUCUAGAGUAAAGGUUACGGUAUAAGAUGAGUAUGCGUUCUAUUAGUUUGUUGGUGUGGUAACGGCACACCAAGACUACGAUAGAUAGGGGCCCUGAGAGGGGGAUCCCCCACACUGGUACUGAGACACGGACCAGACUCCUACGGGAGGCAGCAGUGAGGAAUAUUGGACAAUGGAGGCAACUCUGAUCCAGCCAUGCCGCGUGCAGGAAGACUGCCCUAAGGGUUGUAAACUGCUUUUAUACAGGAAGAAACACCUCUACGUGUAGAGGCUUGACGGUACUGUAAGAAUAAGGAUCGGCUAACUCCGUGCCAGCAGCCGCGGUAAUACGGAGGAUCCAAGCGUUAUCCGGAAUCAUUGGGUUUAAAGGGUCCGUAGGUGGAUAACUAAGUCAGAGGUGAAAUCUUGCAGCUCAACUGUAAAAUUGCCUUUGAAACUGGUUAUCUUGAGUUAUUAUGAAGUAGUUAGAAUAUGUAGUGUAGCGGUGAAAUGCAUAGAUAUUACAUAGAAUACCAAUUGCGAAGGCAGAUUUCUAAUAAUUAACUGACACUGAUGGACGAAAGCGUGGGUAGCGAACAGGAUUAGAUACCCUGGUAGUCCACGCCGUAAACGAUGGUUACUAGCUGUUUGGACUUCGGUCUGAGUGGCUAAGCGAAAGUGAUAAGUAACCCACCUGGGGAGUACGUUCGCAAGAAUGAAACUCAAAGG
rnacentral:rRNA from 1 species